UGCAAGUCGAACGAGCGAGAGAGAGCUUGCUUUCUCGAGCGAGUGGCGAACGGGUGAGUAACGCGUGAGGAACCUGCCUCAAAGAGGGGGACAACAGUUGGAAACGACUGCUAAUACCGCAUAAGCCCACGGCUCGGCAUCGAGCAGAGGGAAAAGGAGCAAUCCGCUUUGAGAUGGCCUCGCGUCCGAUUAGCUAGUUGGUGAGGUAAUGGCCCACCAAGGCGACGAUCGGUAGCCGGACUGAGAGGUUGAACGGCCACAUUGGGACUGAGACACGGCCCAGACUCCUACGGGAGGCAGCAGUGGGGAAUAUUGCACAAUGGGGGAAACCCUGAUGCAGCGACGCCGCGUGGAGGAAGAAGGUCUUCGGAUUGUAAACUCCUGUUGUUGAGGAAGAUAAUGACGGUACUCAACAAGGAAGUGACGGCUAACUACGUGCCAGCAGCCGCGGUAAAACGUAGGUCACAAGCGUUGUCCGGAAUUACUGGGUGUAAAGGGAGCGCAGGCGGGAAGACAAGUUGGAAGUGAAAUCUAUGGGCUCAACCCAUAAACUGCUUUCAAAACUGUUUUUCUUGAGUAGUGCAGAGGUAGGCGGAAUUCCCGGUGUAGCGGUGGAAUGCGUAGAUAUCGGGAGGAGCACCAGUGGCGAAGGCGGCCUACUGGGCACCAACUGACGCUGAGGCUCGAAAGUGUGGGUAGCAAACAGGAUUAGAUACCCUGGUAGUCCACACCGUAAACGAUGAUUACUAGGUGUUGGAGGAUUGACCCCUUCAGUGCCGCAGUUAACACAAUAAGUAAUCCACCUGGGGAGUACGACCGCAAGGUUGAAACUCAAA
rnacentral:rRNA from 1 species